rnacentral:rRNA from 1 species
UACAGAGGGCGCGAGCGUUGUCCGGAAUCACUGGGCGUAAAGGGCGCGUAGGUGGCGGCAUAAGGCCGCGGUGAAAGUCUGGGGCUCAACCCCAGAUCGGCCGCGGCGACUGUGUCGCUCGAGCACGGUAGAGGCAGAUGGAAUUCCGGGUGUAGCGGUGGAAUGCGUAGAGAUCCGGAAGAACACCAGUGGCGAAGGCGGCUCACUGGCCCGAUACUGACGCUGAGGCACGAAAGCGUGGGGAGCAAACAGG